ACCCCGUUCUCCGCCACCCCCAAGGCCCAGAGCGCGCGCGCACGCUGUGGCUCGCGGCGGCGGAGGGCAGCGGAGGGCAGCGGGGAGCGGGGGGCCGGGGGCGCACCUGGCUGCUGCCGCCAGAACCCCGAAGGCCGCUGCACCCCGCCCCCAAAGUUCAAGGGAGGGCCGAGCCACGGAAGCGGCCGCACCAACCAGCCGAAGGCGCCGGGCGCCGGGAGAGCCGGGCCUCGCGGCCACCUGCGUCCCGCCCCGCGCCGCCGACGGACAGGUGCCAGGUGGCACCACCAGGGUCUCUACUGUGAAGAGACGAUGAUGACAUGGCCUUGCCAGAUUGAGUUUGAAUUCAAGAACCAGGAGAACCCAAUGAUGAUAAGAAUUCUCUUCUAAGGAAGCAUUAAGCCACGUGAUUGGAGAAGUUCCUCCCGUGUUGGAAGCUUCUGGAGCAAAAGGAAUCCUGUCUCUUCCUAUAUUCUGACACUGAUAGUUUCCCAAGAACCUCAGUACUCCAGUGGGCUCAAGAAAAGUGAAUUUGCUGUUUGUCAAGACUUCUUUCACUAGCACUUUACUAGGUACUGUUGGGAAUAAAGCAGAUGCAGACCCAUCCCUUAGAGAAUAUAUAAUGAAGAAAUAAAGGAAAAUGUUUGUAUAAACAUCUACAAUAUAUGACCUAUGAGAGUGAUCACGAACUCAAAUGUCCACAGAGGCCAGGCAGAUGAUAUCAUGCAUGAAACAAGGGAAUGAUCCAUUGAUUGUGUUAAAGGAAGAUGGCCAAAGGAGUCAAAUACUAGAGGAGGGGAAUGGAAUACACAAGGGCAGUCUCUGAUUGAAGGAGGGACACUUCUGCUAUCACACUGCAGAGAGGCAUUUCUUCCCGGGUUCCCUAUCAGAGGUAAGAGGAUGCUCAGCUUCCUGCUGCUUAAGGAGGAACCGAAUCAGUCUGUUGCCUGUGAGACAGUGGUCACGGGCUGCGGAUGUCAGGUGUCCUGUGGCAUCCCGUCUCUGCUUGCACCAUUCCCUAUGCCUACAGUGCUCUUCCUUCACCUCUCCAGCCUCAAAAACUCCCACUCAUCUGCCGUGGCCAGUUUCAAACUUUACUUCUGCUAGGCCGUACUCUGACACCUGUCACAAGGUACUGUGGUUGUGGGGAAGGUAGCAGAGCUGUCAAGAAUAUUGACCCUGGAAUGAAAGCACCUGGGUUCAAGUCAGAUCUGUGACUUCCUAGCCGUGUGACUUGGGCCACUUAUUUCAUCUGUCUUUGCCUCAUUCUCAUGUGUAAUAGGGGGGAAAAUGCUAGAAUUCCCCACAUAAUAUCUGUGUGAAGAUUAAAUAAGAUGAAAAAAAAUAAAAAGAAAAAAAAUAAAAAGAUUAAAUAAGAUGACCCUGUCAAAGGUCAAAGAAUCUAGCACAAUGCCAGGCACAUAGUAAGUUCAGGGAACGUGUGGCUUAUUAUGAUUGUCAGAUGUCUGUCUCUUCCCCCUGGACUCUGCACGUCCCCCAGGACAGAUUCCUUUUUUUUAUCUGUGUACCCCUGACCCCAUGCUCAGUUUAAAGUGCUUUAUGAAUGUUUGAAGGAUGAAUGAAUGACCUGCCAAGUCUUGACAUGUUCUCUUGCUAUACAUAUACCUUCAUGGUGAGAAAUCAAAAAAAGGACCAGGAAGAUGGGGAGAAAGAGAAGAAUAAAGGAGAUACAAGAGAAGGAGGAGGAAGGAAGAGGAAGCAGAGGAGGAAGAAGAAGAAAAUAGUAAUGGACUGUCAUUGUUAAUAAUGGUUAUUUGACACUUGUGUGCCCAGAAAACAGGCAUCAAUCACAGCACCCCAGCCUGCGAUGGCCUCUCCUGCUGCUGAUGCUUUGGAGUCCAGGAAGAUGUUGGUCCUUACACUUGAUGCAAAGUUCAACAUUACAUUCGGGCUCCUGGGACAACUGAUUUGUCACUGCUCAGAGACAGUCCCAGACAGGUCCCUGAUAGAGUACCCCCAAGUAGACCCCCGAAGGUGACCUUAGGAGACAAGGACUGUACAGGGCCAACCCAGGUCAUCUGAGGAGGAAGAUAGGCAUCGUCUCAUCCCCCAAUUCUCCAGGACAGAUGUAGCCCUGCAUGAGCGGAAUAUUUCAAGGUUCCCUUGUAGCUGAGGCAUCUUGGCAAAACCUGUGUCUACUGACUCUAGAUAUACUGGCUUCUACUUCUAUUCUAGAGUCAGUGAUAAAUCCCCAAGAACUCAUUAGUGGUUCCUAGCACACAUAAAAGUACAGAAAGCCUUUGUUUUGCUGAUUAGGGAACCUACAUAAAUUUUUAACUGAUUAUUAAGAAAUAAAUGCCAACCUUUGCAGAAAAA